rnacentral:rRNA from 1 species
AUUGAACGCUGGCGGCAUGCCUUACACAUGCAAGUCGAACGGUAACAGGUUAAGCUGACGAGUGGCGAACGGGUGAGUAAUGUAUCGGAACGUGCCCAGUCGUGGGGGAUAACUGCUCGAAAGAGCAGCUAAUACCGCAUACGACCUGAGGGUGAAAGCGGGGGCUCGCAAGACCUCGCGCGAUUGGAGCGGCCGAUAUCAGAUUAGGUAGUUGGUGAGGUAAAGGCUCACCAAGCCGACGAUCUGUAGCUGGUCUGAGAGGACGACCAGCCACACUGGGACUGAGACACGGCCCAGACUCCUACGGGAGGCAGCAGUGGGGAAUUUUGGACAAUGGGCGCAAGCCUGAUCCAGCCAUGCCGCGUGCGGGAAGAAGGCCUUCGGGUUGUAAAACGCUUUUGUCAGGGAAGAAAAGGUUCUGGCUAAUACCUGGGACUCAUGACGGUACCUGAAGAAUAAGCACCGGCUAACUACGUG